CCUACGGGCGGCUGCAGUGGGGAAUAUUGCACAAUGGGGGAAACCCUGAUGCAGCGACGCCGCGUGGGUGACGAAGUAUUUCGGUAUGUAAAGCCCUAUCAGCAGGGAAGAAGAUGACAGUACCUGACUAAGAAGCAGCGGCUAAAUACGUGCAAGCAGCCGCGGCAAUACGUAGGGGGCAGGCGUUAUCCGGAUUUACUGGGUGUUAAGGGGGCGCAGGCGGCGAUGAAAGCCAGGAGGGAAAGCCCUGGGCCCAACCCCGGGACUGCUCUUGAAACUGCGUGGCUGGAGUGCAGGAGGGGCAGGCGGAAGUCGUGGUGUAGCGGUGAAAUGCGUAGAUAUCAGGAGGAACACCGGUGGCGAAGGCGGCCUGCUGGACUGCAACUGACGUUGAGGCCCGAAAGCGUGGGGAGCGAACAGGAUUAGAUACCCCAGUAGUC
rnacentral:rRNA from 1 species